AACACGCUAUAAACGAAGUAAGCAACAAAUUCGCAACGCUCCGCAACAGCCCCGGACACGAUGGUGGAGGCAGUGGCUGCGAACGUGAACUGGAAGAAGAACAUGGCGUACUGCCUGUGUGGAAGACUGUGGGAUGCGAAGUACUUCAGUCCAAUAAACUUGUCUGCCUCCCCACCAUCUCCAAAGGCGAAGGCGAAACCAAAGAGCCAAUAGGACACUCCGGAAAUAACUGGGAAAUCAAGAACAACACAUGUAUCCUACCGGACAGAAAACUCAUUAAGAAAGGAAGAUCCGUGAGGCAUGGUUCAGUAAAUUUAAAGUGCCUCCAGAAUUCUCCACACGUGUUCACUGAGGGACGGAGUGAUCAGGGCGUGUUACGCAACAAACCUGUGAUGGUUCUCUACGUGUUGAUGUUUAAUAGCAUGGAAUCUCUCUCUCAUGACUGUUUGUGUGUGUGUUACCUUACUGAUGCCAGAUGUACACUUAUUUAUGAAAUAUUAUUGAAUAAUAAUAAAUAUUGGAAACUUG
rnacentral:sRNA from 1 species